UACGUAGGUGGCAAGCGUUGUCCGGAUUUACUGGGCGUAAAGCGUGCGCAGGCGGCUUCCUAAGUCAGAUGUGAAAUCCCCGGGCUCAACCUGGGAACUGCGUUUGAAACUGGGAGGCUAGAGUGCGGCAGAGGGGGGUGGAAUUCCGACGUGUAGCAGUGAAAUGCGUAGAUAUGUGGAGGAACACCGAUGGCGAAGGCAGCCCCCCUGGGCCAGCACUGACGCUCAUGCACGAAAGCGUGGGGAGCAACAGG
rnacentral:rRNA from 1 species